AAUAUAUUUUAUUUUAGUAAUUUAAUUUUUUUAUUUCUUUUAUUUACAUGUAAAUUUUUGUAAAAAUAGUUUAAUAACGAAUAAACAGUAAUUAUAGUUAUAAUUUAAUGAAAAUUAGAAAUAUAAAUUGAAGUAAAGUUCAACAAAUUUUGUGCCAGCAGUUGCGGUUAUACAAUUGAACUAAUAAAAUUUUAAAAAUAGAUUAAUUAUUUUUUGACUAGAUUAAAAUUGAAAAUUAGAAGGUAAAAUUUAAUUUUUUAAGUUUAAAUUCUUUGGGUGUAAUUGAGAAACUAAGUAUAAAAAUCAGGAUUAGAUACCCUGUUAUUAAAGCGUAAAUUUAUUGGAGUAGUAGAAGAUAAGAUCUUGAAACUCAAAAAAUUUGGCGGUAUUUUAUCUAAUUAGAGGAACCUGUUUAUUAAUUGAUAUUCCACAACUUAAAUCUACUUUUACGAGAUUAUUUGUAUACCGCUGUCAUGAAUCUACUAAAAAGUUUAUUUUCAAAAUUUUUUAUGCAAGUUAUGUUAGGUCAAGGUGUAGUAUGUAAAUGAACAAAAUGGGUUACAUUAUUUAUUAUGAAUGAAUAAUUCUAUUAAUAUAGUUUAUGAAAUGGGAUUUAUAAGUAAAAGAAUUACAAAGAUUUUAUAUGAAUAAAGAUUCUAAAAUAUGUACACAUUGCCCGUCGCUCUUGUUUAAAAUAAGAUAAGUCGUAACAUAGUAGAUGUACUGGAAAGUGCCUCUGGAAUUAGA
rnacentral:ncRNA from 1 species